rnacentral:tRNA from 1 species
GGCUACGUAGUUCAUCUGGUUAGAGCACAUCACUUAGAAUGAUGGGGUCACAUGUUAGAAUCCCGUCGUAGCCACCA